rnacentral:rRNA from 1 species
AAAGCCUGAUCCAGCCAUGCCGCGUGUGUGAAGAAGGUCUUCGGAUUGUAAAGCACUUUAAGUUGGGAGGAAGGGUUUCUGGCUAAUAUCCAGGAAUUUUGACGUUACCGACAGAAUAAGCACCGGCUAACUUCGUGCCAGCAGCCGCGGUAAUACGAAGGGUGCAAGCGUUAAUCGGAAUUACUGGGCGUAAAGGGCGCGUAGGCGGAUCGUUAAGUCAGAGGUGAAAUCCCAGGGCGCAACCCUGGAACUGCCUUGGAUACUGGCGUUCUUGAGUAUGAGAGAGGUAUGUGGAACUCCGAGUGUAGAGGUGAAAUUCGUGGAUAUUCGGAAGAACACCAGUGGCGAAGGCGACAUACUGGCUCAUUACUGACGCUGAGGCGCGAAAGCGUGGGGAGCAAACA